rnacentral:rRNA from 1 species
UUAAGCCCCGGAGCGCCCAUGGUACUGCCUUCACCGGCGGGAGAGUAGGUCGCCGCCAACC